rnacentral:tRNA from 1 species
GGGGGUAGAGGAUGUAGCUCAGUGGUAGAGUGCAUGCUUAGCAUGCAUGAGGUCCUGGGUUCAAUCCCCAGUACCUCCA